rnacentral:rRNA from 1 species
GACGAACGCUGGCGGCGUGCUUAACACAUGCAAGUCGAACGGAAAGGCCCUGCUUUUGUGGGGUGCUCGAGUGGCGAACGGGUGAGUAACACGUGAGUAACCUGCCCUUGACUUUGGGAUAACUUCAGGAAACUGGGGCUAAUACCGGAUAGGAGCUCCUGCUGCAUGGUGGGGGUUGGAAAGUUUCGGCGGUUGGGGAUGGACUCGCGGCUUAUCAGCUUGUUGGUGGGGUAGUGGCUUACCAAGGCUUUGACGGGUAGCCGGCCUGAGAGGGUGACCGGCCACAUUGGGACUGAGAUACGGCCAAGACUCCGACGGGAGGCAGCAGUGCGGAAUAGUGCACAAUGGGCGGAAGCCUGAUGCAGCAACGCCGCGUGCGGGAUGACGGCCUUCGGGUUGUAAACCGCUUUCGCCUGUGACGAAGCGUGAGUGACGGUAAUGGGUAGAGAAGCACCGGCUAACUACGUG